GAUGAAGAACGUAGCGAAAUGCGAUAAGUAGUGUGAAUUGCAGAAUUCCGUGAAUCAUCGAAUCUUUGAACGCACAUUGCGCCCGCCGGUAUUCCGGCGGGCAUGCCUGUCCGAGCGUCAUUUCACCACUCAAGCCCAGCUUGGUGUUGGGGCACCCGGCCGCCUGGCGGCCGGGGCCCCCAAGUACAUCGGCGGUCCCGCUGGGGGCACCGAGCGCAGUAGCUCGCGGUAAAACGCGCCCUCGCUCGGCGGCCUCUUCGGGCUUCCAGCCGCUAAACCCGCGUCCACCGACGCCCUUUCGAGUUGACCUCGGAUCAGGUAGGAAUACCCGCUGAACUUAAGCAUAUCAAUAAGCGGAGGA
rnacentral:misc_RNA from 1 species